rnacentral:rRNA from 1 species
UCGCCUGUUUAUCAAAAACAUUUCUGAAUGCUAUUUCUUUUCAGUAAGACCUGCUCAAUGAUCUUUUAAUAGCCGCGAUUACGUGCUAAGGUAGCAUAAUCACUUGCCUUAUAAUUUAAGGCUAGAAUGAAAGGUUUAACAUGAUAACUUCUUUAUAAAUAAAAAUUCUUUAAUUUUACUUAUAAGUAAAAAGGCUUAUAUUACCUAGGAAGACGACAAGACCCUGACGAGCUUUACUUAUAAGUUGAACUGGGGUGGUAAAAAACUAAAUCUUUUAAUUCCGUUUAUUUAUAUCCUUUUUAAAAGAUCUCAAGUUACCGCAGGGAUAACAGCAUAAUUUUUUUCUAGAGACCUUAUCUAAAAAAAAGAUUGUGACCUCGAUGUUGAAUUAAUU